rnacentral:rRNA from 1 species
CCUACGGGAGGCAGCAGUGAGGAAUAUUGGUCAAUGGGCGAGAGCCUGAACCAGCCAAGUCGCGUGAAGGAUGACGGCCCUACGGGUUGUAAACUUCUUUUGUCAGGGAGCAAAUGGGUCCACGCGUGGGCUUAGCGAGAGUACCUGAAGAAAAAGCAUCGGCUAACUCCGUGCCAGCAGCCGCGGUAAUACGGUGGAUGCGAGCGUUAUCAGGUGUUAUGGGGGUUAAAGGGUGCGUAGGCGGAAUAUUAAGUCAGCGGUAAAAAUUCGGGGAACAACCCCGUAGUGCCGUUGAAACUGCUGUUCGUGAGUGGGCGAGAAGUAUGCGGAAUGCGUGGUGUAGCGGUGAAAUGCAGAGAUGUCACGCAGAACUCCGAUUGCGAAGGCAGCAUACCGGCGCCCAACUGACGCUGAAGCACGACAGCGUGGGUAUCGAACAGGAUUAGAUACCCCUGUAGUC